CGGGAGUGCACGUUUGCGCAUGCGUCUGGCUCAUCAUUUUCAGCGCGCAAAAGUUUCAAAACUUUCCGCCUAGUGAGAGGCGGUCCGAUUUGGCCCUUGGGGAGUGUCCGUCGCGUUGAUCUGAUGGAUUCACGUACACAACACCACAUUCUAUGAGAUUUUGCAGGCAAAAGUCCACAAGCUCGAUAUAUGGGACACCUGCACCGGCAUUGGAUUUGGCCCCGCAACAUCUUAAAGGUACCACCCAACACCUGAAGUGUCUGCCUCCUUCCGAUGGAGCCUCCUGGCCCCUCCCACCUCUCACCAGCUUUACCCUUUAGCCAGAAUG
rnacentral:lncRNA from 1 species